AUCUCAGAACAGCGGCAAGGUUUGCAUUCUGCUACCUAACAUGGUUCCCCCGGGAGCCAGAGAAUGGGAAGGAGUACAUUUUUCUCUGAUUGACUUGAGAGCUAGCAGAAAUCGACCAAUCCGAAAGAGGCUGCUAGUUAUCCCACUCGUGUUCUUCUUGCCCUGACCAAUAAAAGCCAGAGUUCGGUGGAGCCUGGCCCACCCACCAGUGAGUGACAGUACAGUUGUAUGAACUGGGCGUUUGCUGCUUGGGUUCACCAGCUUUAUAGUAGUGGGGUUGGAGGGUGCAAGCGCUCACCAGUAACCACAGACACACUCCAUUUCCACCUCACCCUACCACCAUUUCCCGCGCGAGAUUUGGGUGCUUCAAAUGGCGCCUCCCCGCUAGGCCGCGUGCCUGUAGGAGAGGCCUAGCCUUAAAAGAGCAGAUGAGGUGCAGUCUCAGCCACCUGCUACCUAAGCUCCUGCUUUCUGAGGCUGAGGCUGCUGCAACCUCCCCCUCUCUAUUCUUCAGCCUCCUUGUGCCCCCGGACCUACAACCCUACAACCAGCCAUUGCCACCAUAAAGUUAGGGUAUGCAGCAUGCGUACCCCGUCUGGAACCCAUCUCUGAGGUCUGAGCCUUUCUUGUUUCUAAGCCUUUCUUGUUCGCGGGUCUGGAGUGUGAGCACCUGCAAAAUCCCCUACUCUCCCACUUCCUUCAGGCUGCUCUUUGUUUUUGCUGAGAUUUGCUUCGCACGCUGGAACAGAUGCUGGCUGGAUUCUGAACAGAAGCCAGAGCUGGAAGCCCAUGAGAUGGACAAUUCUAAGUCACAAUGACUCUAUGGCGGCUGUCUGGACAAGUCCUUCAUGAACAGGAAACUGAACUUAAUUUGCUUUAAAGCUAUGGCCAGCCCUGGCAACCACCAUUCUACUUUCUGCUUCUAUGAUUUUGACUACUCUAAGUACAUCAUGAAGAUUCACCCUGAGCCAAGACCCAUUGCCAAUCUUCCUCUUUUUGCUUGAGGAAGAUUUGCCCUGAGCUAACAU